rnacentral:rRNA from 1 species
GACGGAGGAUGCAAGCGUUAUCCGGAAUGAUUGGGCGUAAAGCGUCCGCAGGCGGCAGUUCAAGUCUGCUGUCAAAGACCGGGGCUUAACUUCGGAAAGGCAGUGGAAACUGAACAGCUAGAGUAUGGUAGGGGCAGAGGGAAUUCCUGGUGUAGCGGUGAAAUGCGUAGAGAUCAGGAAGAACAUCGGUGGCGAAGGCGCUCUGCUGGACCAUAACUGACACUCAGGGACGAAAGCUAGGGGAGCGAA